GGGCCUAUAGUUCAAUGGCUAGAAUUUCUCUCUCCAAAAGAGAAGAUCAAGGUUCGAAUCCUUGUGGGCCCG
rnacentral:tRNA from 1 species